CGCGUAGGCGGGCCGGCCAGUCGGAGGUGAAAGCCCCCAGCUCAACUGGGGAAGUGCCCCCGAUACUGCCGGCCUUGAGGGAGGUAGGGGCGUGCGGAACUUCCGGUGGAGCGGUGAAAUGCGUAGAUAUCGGAAGGAACACCGGUGGCGAAGGCGGCACGCUGGGCCUCACCUGACGCUGAGGCGCGAAAGCCAGGGGAGCGAAG
rnacentral:rRNA from 1 species